rnacentral:lncRNA from 1 species
UAAGUAGACAAUAUACGACUGCUCCACACCAAUCUCAGUUUUGACCACACUUCAGAUUUUCAAAAUUUGUGACCAAAACCUCUUCAGUCUUCUGGCUUGGCCACCCUCAUUACUUCCUGUGUUCAAGGUCCUAUUCAUAGUCUGGUGAAAUCUAUGAAGAACAGAGAGGGUCAAGGGGAGAGUAUUGGGUGUACUCACAGUUGAGGUACAGGGCAUGAUAAUGAGAAAAAAAGAAAACAGGAAUUUGAUCUCCAGUAAAGAAGACAAAAUCAAAGUACAGGGAAGUAAAUAAUAACUAGGAUAUCAAUAGAGCUUUUAGUUUUGCAUUUCAUCCUUAAAAUAAUGCUAUAACAUUACCAUCCCCAUUAUAGAUAAGAUGGAGAGAAGUUCUGUGACUUGUCUAUGAUCAUACAACUAGUGUCUAGUAUGGUAUUUGAAUUCGGGUCUUGCUGAAAUAAGUGAUCUUCCCAG